rnacentral:rRNA from 1 species
CCUACGGGUGGCAGCAGUGAGGAAUAUUGGUCAAUGGUCGAGAGUCUGAACCAGCCAAGUAGCGUGAAGGAUGACUGCCCAGAGGGUUGUAAACCUCUUUUAUAUGGGAAUAAAACAUGGUAUGCAUACCCUCUUGUAUGUACCAGAUGAAUAAGGAUCGGCUAACUCCGUGCCAGCAGCCGCGGUAAUACGGAGGAUCCGAGCGUUAUCCGGAUUUAUUGGGUUUAAAGGGAGCGUAGGGGGAUUGUUAAGUCAGGUGUGAAAGUUUGGGGCUCAACCGUAAAAGUGCAGUUGAAACUGGCAGUCUUGAGUACAGUAGAGGUGUGCGGAAUGCGUGGUGUAGCGGUGAAAUGCUUAGAUAUCACGAAGAACUCCGAUUGCGAAGGCAGCUCACUGGACUGCAACUGACACUGAUGCUCGAAAGUGUGGGUAUCAAACAGUAUUAGAUACCCGUGUAGUC